rnacentral:lncRNA from 1 species
GCAAUGUCACAUUUCCACAAAAUCCUCAAAAGGAGACAAAAACAAGUGUCAUUGGAUAGGUUCCUUGUUAAAGUUGCACAAAAUGAAAAAGAUUCCAUUGAGCCAAUAGAUAGCAGUGAUUCUCUUAGUGAUAGUGGAAGUCAUCUAUGCAAAAUCCCUGCUCUCUGUCUCCCUCAUACCAGCCACAAAGGUUUUCAAAGGCCCCACCCCUCACCUCACCUGCUUAUCUACCUGGGCUGCAGUGCUUGUGUUUGACUGAAGAGCAGUCAAACCUUGGAAUGUGGUUUCAACCCGGCGCCUCAUUUCCUGGCCCUGUAGGCAGGUAUGUGAACUUGGCCAGGGCCCAAAGCUCCUAUCCCCUCCUCAGGUGAUGCAGCUGGAUUUGUGGUGGGUGCUUUAGAGCUAAGGCCAUUUGGAAAUGGGAUUUGGGGCCUGACACUUUUGUGAGGUUCUGCUUGGGAGUAUGGACAGAAGUAAAGCCUAAAAAAGGAGCAGGGCAGGGACCCCUGUGCAUUUCAAAGGUACAUAGUAGGAA